UACGGGGGGGGCAAGCGUUGUUCGGAAUUACUGGGCGUAAAGGGCUCGUAGGUGGCCAACUAAGUCGGACGUGAAAUCCCUCGGCUUAACCGGGGAACUGCAUCUGAUACUGGAUGGCUUGAGAUUGGGAGAGGGAUGCGGAAUUCCAGGUGUAGCGGUGAAAUGCGUAGAUAUCUGGAGGAACACCGGUGGCGAAGGCGGCAUCCUGGACCAACACUGACGCUGAGGAGCGAAAGCCAGGGGAGCAAACGGG
rnacentral:rRNA from 1 species